GUCCCUGUCGAUUAGUGGUCAAAUCAUCACGUUGUGGUAGAAUUAUUACAAACCGUGAAGCCGGGAGCUCGAAUCUCCCCAGGGACA
rnacentral:tRNA from 1 species